rnacentral:rRNA from 1 species
UAGGAAUUGGCGGGGGAGCACCACAAGGGGUGAAGCUUGCGGUUUAAUUGGAGUCAACGCCGGAAAUCUCACCGGGAGCGACAGCAGUUUGAAGGCCAGAUUAAAGGUCUUGCCAGACGAGCUGAGAGGAGGUGCAUGGCCGUCGCCAGUUCGUGCCGUGAGGUGUCCUGUUAAGUCAGGCAACGAUCGAGACCCGCGUCCUCUGUUGCUACUAGCUUUGUGCUGGGCACACUGAGGAGACCGCCACUGAUAAAGUGGAGGAAGGAGCGGGCCACGGCAGGUCAGUAUGCCCCGAAUCUCCCGGGCCACACGCGAGCUGCAAUGGCAGGUACAAUGGGUUCCGACCUCGUAAGGGGAAGGCAAUCUCGAAAGCCUGCCGUAGUUGGGAUCGAGGGCUGUAACCCGCCCUCGUGAACAUGGAAUCCCUAGUAAUCGCGUGUCAUUAGCGCGCGGUGAAUACGUCCCUGCUCCUUGCACACACCGCCCGUCGUUCCAUCCGAGCGACUCUUGGGUGAGGCGCCGUCUUUCAUGGCGGCGUCGAAUCUAAAUUUCGCAAGGAGGGAAAAGUCGUAACAAGGUAGCCUCAGUCAGUCA